UGACCCGUCUUGAAACAAGGACCAAGGAGUCUAACAUGUGCGCGAGUCAUUGGGCUCUGCGAAACCUAACGGCGAGAUGAUGGUGAAGGGCAAGGCUUCGGCCGGAUGAGGGGUGAUGGUCAUUAUCCGGCUCAUACCGGAGGCCCGCAACCCCGGGGCGUCACGUUCUCGUUGAGAUGUGGCGCACCCAGAGCGCACACGGUUGGGACCCGAAAGAUGGCGAACUUCGGAUGGCCAGGACGAAGUCAGGGGAAACCCUGAUGGAGGUCCGUAGCGAUUCUGACGUGCAAAUCGAUCGUCGGAGCUGUCUGAAGGGGCGAAAGACUAAUCGAGCCAUCUAGUAGCUGGUUC
rnacentral:rRNA from 1 species